CCAUUUUCUCUCCCAUGGCAGGUCUCACUUUUAGAGAAUUUCCUUUCUUAUGUUUUGCGGAAUGGAGUAAUCCCAGCGGCCAAUGUAAUACUGAAGAAGGGAUUCCCUCUUCCUAACCUGGACCAUAUUACCCUCCUCAGACCUGUUAUUAAAAUUAAUGAGGGUUACCUGCUCAUUUCCACUGAUAUUGACUACAACCUCUAAGGAAGAGAGCAUAUUUGAAUGAUCAGGAAGUUCCCAACCAACAACACGAUCCUGAAGACUGAACCACUCUGUCCCUUUGCUUUUCAACUUAAAAAAAAAAGAGCAAAGUUUUUAAAUUUAUGCUAUGAUUUUGGUAAAGAGGGACUAUUUAUAACAUGUAUCCAACAGAGAAUCAUGUAAAAACAUAUUACAUAUUUGGUAGGGGAAGUAUUUGUCAUUCAGGAGUUUGCAGGUAUUGCCAAAGCUACUAGUUUUAAAGGUUAAAGUAUAUCUCUGUUUAAGUAAAGCCUUUUUAUACACUUCAUAGAGGGCACAAUACUCUUUUGAGAAAAGGAAGGAUGUAUGCCAGCAAACUGCAAACACAGCUGAGGGCAGCUGCUCUUGUAAUGGUUUUGCUGUAGCAUAAACUUAUUUUUCUGUUUCCAACUGACUGCAUCUGUUGUGUUUGAAUAUGAAGUGGGAAGUAUCAAGUGCUUCGAUCUGAAAACUCUCUUGGUGCCUAUGAGGACUAAAAGUUCUUUGUGAAAGGAUUUCAUCAGAGUUUGAUGGAAGGAACAAAGUGCCCUGGCACUCCUUAACGGUAUUUCAAGAUGGGGACUAUCCUGAUGCCUUUGUUAGUCUAAGAGGGUACUCUAGAACAGUGUUUCUCAACUAGUAGUAUGAGUACCUUUAGGGGUACUUGAGAGAAGUCUGGGAGAUAUGUCAACACAACUGAAAUUUGGAGAAAACUGAAUUUUUGUUUUAAGUUUUACAGCGCUUUAUUAUUUUUGUACUUUUUACACCCAAAAAUUUCAUCAUCCGCCCAGCUAUGAUUAAGUUGUUUUAACAAAUGUCUUGUAACUGUAGAAAAAAUUGUGUAUGUCUGAAAACUGUAGGUACUGGGGAUACUUAUAAUUUUUUUUUUCAGAAAGGGGGUUCUUUAGGAAAAAAGUUAAGAAACACUGCUCUAGAACUUAGAGCUGAAAAGGACUCAUUAAUCUACUUCAUGCCCCUAAUGGUACAGAUUUAUUCUUUAAUACAGAAUUAUUCUUUAGUAAUUAUUAUUUUGUUAGUACUGUAACCGUAAGUUUUACAUGUGCCAAGCUGUGCAGCUACAAUAAACUUUUCUUGAGAAACUA